UCAUAGCUCAGUCGGUAGAGCAUUCACCUUGAUAGUGAAUGGUCGUGGGUUCGAGUCCCGCCG
rnacentral:ncRNA from 12 species